rnacentral:rRNA from 1 species
AUUCCAGCUCCAAUAGCGUAUAUUAAAGUUGUUGCAGUUAAAAAGCUCGUAGUUGGAUUUCUGGCCGAGUGUCCCCAGGCCAGCAUGACGUUUGGUCCUGGGCGCUCUGCCAUCCUUCUGUCAACCUUCGCCUCGUUCAUUCGUGGCGCUGGGGCUCAGAUAUUUUACCUUGAGAAAAUUAGAGUGUUUCAGGCAGGCUUUCGCCGGAAUACAUUAGCAUGGAAUAAUAGAAAAGGACUUCAACCUCUUCUGUUGGUCUGAGAGGCUGUAGUAAUGAUUAAUAGGGAUAGUUGGGGGCAUUAGUACUUUACUGUCAGAGGUGAAAUUCUCCGAUUUGUUAAAGACUAACUUAUGCGAAAGCAUUUGCCAAGGAUGUUUUCAUUA